rnacentral:lncRNA from 1 species
CAUAGAUUUAUGGUAAAAAUACUAAGUGAUGUGGCGAAACAAGCCUUUCCACAGGCUGUCCACCGCUGUAGAAGAGUUUGGAUUGUGGAGGAUAGGGUUUGAUGACCGGAAUCGAAACAUUUUCAAGGAUGAGACUCGAGACUCGAAUCCAGGUCCUCACACUGGAAAUCCGAAGCGUUUCCAUACGACCAAUCCGGCUGACGGGUUUCUUUUUUUAUUUAUUGGUUUCGUUACUUUCUAAUCAAUGAUUACUAAGCAGCAGGGUAUUUCAGGGUCCAGCACCCGUCCACACCCGUGGUGAGGUGAAGUGAAGAAUGGACGAGCUGGGCCUGGAUUUCUAAAAAAAUCUGGAGGUGAGGAACUCAGAAAUGAAUCUGAAUUUUCUGAGUGAUAAGCUAACACUUUAUUAUGCGGCCAUCCGUCCAACCAUUUUUGAAUAGUUGGUAAAUUAAAAUACGGAAAUUUGAAUUUAAUGUUAUUAAACAAUUAAUUUGGAAUGAGUAUGAAAAGUUAAGAUUUAAC